GAUUUUGUAGUAUAUAAACACUAUAAGUUAUUACAGUAAACUGCAACUUUACCAAAGCAUAUGGCCAAAAUUU
rnacentral:tRNA from 1 species